GGCAAGCAAGUUAUCACGAGACGUGCUAGCAUAUACAUGAAUUGGGCAUCCAUCAUUAAAUUCAAUAGCAAACAUUUGGGGCUCCUCAGCAAAUCGAACAAGGGCACCAACGGCAGAUAGAGGACGCACAACAACUGCUUCAUAGUUCUCGGGUCGUCUUUCCACAAAUGAGCCCUUUGUGAGAAUGAGUUGACGAGAUACCGUAUCACCAUGUUCUCCGAGACCCCCUUUUGGGCCAAUAGACAAACUUACUCCUGGAGUAUUCAGAGUCCCCCGAGCAGCAGAGCGCAAUCUCGUUACUAACCAAGCUCCACAAGGAGUUUCAUCUGCCCCAACAGCCUCUUUAGCUCUCCUAUUUAUGUACUCAGAUACAGCCAGC
rnacentral:misc_RNA from 1 species